rnacentral:rRNA from 1 species
UGGCGAACGGGUGAGUAGCACGUGGGCAACCUACCCUUCUGUGGGGGACAACUCCGGGAAACCGGGGCUAAUACCGCAUUCGGUCACCGUUCGCAUGGAUGGUGCAGAAAGCAGCAAUGCGCAGGAGGAUGGGCCCGCGGCCUAUCAGCUAGUUGGUGGGGUAACGGCCUACCAAGGCGAAGACGGGUAGCUGGUCUGAGAGGACGACCAGCCACACGGGGACUGCGACACGGCCCCG